rnacentral:lncRNA from 1 species
GCACCAGUGGCGUUUUUCCUCUUUCGUUUCAUACUCGUCAAGACAAUAUACCGCGUCAAUUAUGUAAAUGCCAUAAAUAUCAAGAAACAAAACUUACAUACUACGUUACACUUGUUUACACCCACAGCAUGCAGGAAAAACACAUCACUGAAUACUAUACUUACUUCACUAGUGCAUCACGAGUGCAUCUUGCUGUGGUCGUCGUCAUGCCAAGACAACGGCAAGCUUUAUUAGAUAGGAUUUCGCUUUUAGUUGGUUCAAAUGUAGGAUAUGAGACUAGCACUACUGGAAAAUAAAAGACUUAGGUGACAAACAGUUUUUGUCGUCUAAGUUGUCAUUUUCAUCGUCUAAGUUCUCAUGUGAUGAAAGUUUCGUCGACUAACAGUCGUGGCUUGAGCAUGGAGGCGUAAGAACUUAGGCGACGAAUAAAAAAGAAAUGGUCGCCUAAAUGGAUAGUUAGACGACUAUUUAUUCAUCAUCACAUAAGUCUAAGGUGAGGAAGACGAACACAUUUAGGCGUCAAAAAUUAUUGUCGCUAACACUUGGUGACGAAGGGAAAUUAUAGUUGCCUUAGUUUCUUUUUACGCGAUCAUUUAUUGAUCGUCGCUAUGUUUAAGGCGAGGAUAAUUGGCACACUAAGUCGUCGAGAGUUUUGUCACCUAACACUGGCGACGAUUCUAAAUAAUAUGGUUGUUGGAUUCUUAAUAUCUUAAACGACAAAAGUUUAAUUCUUCGUCGCCUCAAAGAUCCAACCCCGACCAUGAUUCCUCAUUUUUCACCGCAUAGGACUUAAUUCAACAUUUAAUAUAUAUGUUUUUAAAUUAUAAUUAUAUAUUAUUAAAAAAAUUAAUUAUUACUAAAAUGCACACAGUAAUUAUGUGUGCAUAUUUUCUGACACGACCCACCCCGAAUUUCACCCUGAAACCCGGAGUAAGUCGUGCGGGGACCACCUCCAAGAAAGAUAUUACCGAAAAAUCGGCAUAACCUCCCUUGAAAAUGGACAACCCUUCCUAAAGAAAACCUGCAAACACUUCCAAAAAUUUUAAUCCAUCCUUCACUCCUGGAGCCUACGUGCUCCCCAAAUACCACUACCACCAACAACGCAACAUUAUCCAAACAUCAAAUAUAAUUAUCCAAAAGAUAACAUAAAUCCUCCAACAAAUAUUCUAAAACGUCAACAAGUCUUCACCCACAACCGAAAUAAUAUACAUUAAACCCAAGUAUUCAGAGCUACUAAACACUAGCGGAAAAAGAAACCACAGGUAGGUUAAACAGGUAACCUACUGAUGAAAAGUGGUGGAAAUGCGGGUGACUAUGCCUCGCCUCCUACUAGAUCCAACCCGAACUCUGCAAACUGGGCAUUUUAAAACGAAGGGCCCAGGGGAAACAUUUGAACACGUUAGAGUGAGUGGACAAAAAUAAAAUAAGUAAAAUAAUUCUUUAUGCUUUCCCAAUUUUACUUUUCCAUAGAAAAAUAUGCUGCAUGCGACAGCUCAAAACACUCAACACGAAAACUGGAAAUUUCAUGACUAGCUCCGGCCAGUCUCCAAUGCUCAAUAAAAUACAGCAUCUCAGGCUAAAAUAAAAUAUGUAUGUAUUACACUCGUCAUAUCCCUUGUAUGAAUUUUCUUGAAACAACAAAAAAACAAAUAGAAAAUUCACACAAGGCUACGACGCUUGCGUCUAACGCUCACGUCGCACCAUAAUGGCAUUUUACCUUAUUAUGGUGGAAAAGACGGUGUAUAAAUAUACGCGCAUAUCCCCUAUAUAAAUUAUUAUUUUUAUAUAGGGCAACGACGAUUGCGUCUAACGCUCACGUCGCACCAUAANNNNNNNNNNNNNNNNNNNNCGAUCCGAACUUAAAUAUCAUCCUCGACAGUCGUAAAUAUAACCUCCCCAAAAAUACGACUUAAAUCUUACGGCCGGAUUCUAUAUUAAUUAACCGCCAAAAAUACCAAACUUCGGAAAUUCACAAACCUAUCCAAAUCUCAUCCAAAAAUUCCAUAAAUCACCUCAAUAUAAUCCCCUUAAUAUUCCACAUUUAAAACCCUAAAAAUCUCCCAAACCGGCGGCUCCGCCGGCAGCGGCGGCCGGAGGCCAAUUCCGGCGACCUCCGAAACCUAUGAAAUUUUGACAGAAUAAUCCUCUCAUCAAGCUCUACAACUUUCCUAACUAGCACAAACACCAAUUCCAAGCCUAACUAGGGCAAUCGACUAAAACAUCAAAACACCAUAAAACUUCCACCUCAAAUUUCUCCUUACCUAGCUCAAGAGGGAGUGAGUCCUUUUAGGGCAAGGCUGCUGGGUUGGAGGGCUACAAAACCAUACCAAGCUUGCUCGGAUUGGUGGCCGGAGGAGGGAGUUCCGGCGAAAUGCUUCCCGGCGUCUCCGGCGGGAUUUCUCCUCUUCCGGCGGGUUAGAGACUCGGGGGGCUAGGCCGGGGAGGGAGAGGAGGAGAUGGGGGCCGAACUGAGGUGGAGCAGUGGCCGGUGGCUGGCCGGACGGCGGCAGACGUGGGCUGGGCGAUCCGGCAGGGGAGAAGACUCGGGGGGGAAGGAGAAAAACGGGAGAAGAGAAAAAGAGGGAGAUGGGUUUGGGCCUCUCCAAACCGGUCCAAUACUCAUAUAUCAACCCACUCCAAAAUAAAACACCCCGAAAAAAAUAAUACCCGAAUAAAAAUUACCUUUUACUAGAUAAAAUUCACUAUUUUUACCGUCGUCAUAUUUUCCUCCUACGGAUAAACCUCCGCACAUAAUCGUCCCCGAAACCCCUCUAGGGACCAAUUAAACUAUUAACUCAAUGACGGAGACGGUAAAAUUCUUAUUAUAAUCAAGCCAGUCAAUAAGGUAAAAAUAUAACGGUCGGGAUGUGACAACUCUCCCCUCCUUAUAAAAAUUUCGUCCUCGAAAUUCACAUACCUGUCAUCCGAAGAGAUAGGGAUAUUGCUGCAUUAUUUGCUCCUCUGAUUCCCAAGUAGCUUCUUCUACUUGAUGACUCCUCCAAAGCACCUUGACAAGCGGAAUUGUCUUGUUCCUAAGCACUUGCUUCUUUCGAUCGAGAAUCUGAACCGGUUCCUCUUCAUAGGUCAAAUCUCUCGUCAAACUGAUCGGUUGCUCUUGCAGCACAUGAGAAGGAUCGGCAAUAUACUUGCGAAGCAUGGAUACAUGAAACAUAUUAUGUAUCCUAGCCAACUCUGGAGGUAAAAGUAGCCGAUAAGCAAGUGAGCCAACUCGCUCAAUAAUCUCAUAAUGGCCAAUAUACCUCGGGCUAAGCUUCCCACGUUUACCAAAACGCACAACCCCUUUCCAAGAAGAUAAUUUCAGGAACACCCAAUCACCCACUUGAAAUUAAAGAUCUCUCCUACGGACAUUUGCAUAACUCUUCUGCCUACUUUGAGCGGUCUUGAGUCUAUCUCUAACCACUUUAAUCUUCUCAUUCGUAACAUGGAUUAACUGUGGGCCACAAAGCUCUUUUUCCCCUACUUCAUUCCAACACAAAGGCGUGCGACACUGCCUCCCAUAAAGAGCCUCAAAGGGAGCCAUACCAAUGCUAGAAUGAUAGCUAUUAUUAUAAGCAAAUUCCAUCAACGAUAGGUUUUUAUCCCAACUCCCUCUGAACUGCAAGGCACAAGCCCUCAACAUAUCCUCCAAAGUCUGAAUAGUCCUCUCGGACUGCCCAUCAGUCUGAGGAUGAAAAGCAGUGCUGAAGAGUAAUUGGGUACCUAAAGCUGCCUGAAGAGCUCCCCAGAAUUUAGAAGCAAAUCGAGGAUCCCGAUCUGACACUAUUGAUUCAGGAACACCAUGAAGCCUUACAAUUUCAUUCACAUAAAGCUCCGCCAAUUUAUCCAAUUUAUACUUCUUUCCCACUGGCAAGAAAUGUGCAGACUUGGUGAGUCUAUCCACAAUCACCCAAAUACCGUCAUGCCCUUCACGGGUACGAGGUAAACUAAAAACAAAAUCCAUGGUGAUGUGGUCCCACUUCCACACUGGAAUAGGCAACGGCUCAAGCAAUCCAGAAGGCUUCUGCCUUUCAGCUUUUACUUGCUGACAAACCAGACAUCUACUCACAUAAGCUGCAAUUUCCCUCUUCAUGUUUGGCCACCAAUAAUAAUCCUUCAAAAUCCGAUACAUUUNNNNN